rnacentral:lncRNA from 1 species
AAAUACUCUUUGAGUUUUCUUUUCAAGAAUUCUUUUAAGUUUCUUUUAGAAAAAGCUUUAUCGAUCUUUUUAGAUUGUGGGAAUUUUUUUUAAGCUUCAACUUGCCAAUGAUUAUUCUUUGUAGGGGAGAUUAGAGUCGUUUGAAGGGGGUUGUGGUUUCAUCUUAUUUCCAAGGUUCCUUAGGAUGUCUACAUGCCAAAUUUAUUUUUUUCAUCUUUCUUUUUUUCUUUAGUUUACUAUUUCUUUCUUGUUACUUUAAUUCUAAUAUUUGUUUUGAUUUAUUUACAGUUCUUGAACACCAAAGAGAGACAUUCUCCCAUCAUUACUUUUCAAGAAUCAUUCAGAAAAU